GAUUAAUUAGAAAAGAAUUUUUUUUUUUUCUAAUUGAUUUGUUUUCUUUUCACAAUUUGUUAAUUGUUUAAGUGAAAUUUCUUUUUCUUUUAUUUGAUUACCUUGAUUAUCUUCAACUGGUGAUGGUGGAAAUGGUGAAAGCUUUUCAGGUUGGAUUAAGUUAACUAAAUCAUAAUUUAAAUUGUAGAUUCAAUUGUUGCUCUUGGCCCAAUUUUAUUUCAUUUUUCCUGGUGGUCACACAAUUAAAUCAAAUUAGAUUUUUUUUUUCUAAAGAUGAUCAUCUUAUUAGUUAAGUUGAUUUCAAUUUUACAAUCAAGUUAACUGUAAGGAUGAAUGGAUUUAAGCACGAUGGUGACAAUGAUAAUGAAAAAAAAAUGAUGAUAAUGAUUAAUGAUGAAAAUUUAUAUAAAUGGUGACGAUUAUAAACUAAUCCAGAUAAGUUGCUGAUAUAUAACUUAAAUUAACGACAACAAUUAACGAAAUCACCUUUUGGUGUAUAAACACAAACGGUGUAAAUACCUGGCGAAGUUGGAUCAUCAUUAGUUACCUGUGAGCACCCGACUUUCUUGGAUCGACGCCAAAUUAAUUUCGCAAAAGGUUCAACCUUUUUUGGUACCAAU